CAUUGGNUCAACCAAUGUAUGCUUUGGAAACUGUUAGACUUGAGUGCAGAAGGGGAGAGUGGANUUCCAUGUGUAGCGGUGAAAUGCGUAGAUAUAUGGAGGAACACCGGUGGCGAAAGCGGCUCUCUGNUCUGUCACUGACGCUGAGGCUCGAAAGCGUGGGUAGCGAACAGGAUUAGAUACCCUGGUAGUNCACGCCGUAAACGCUGAGUGCUAGGUGUUAGGUCCUUUCCGGGACUUAGUGCCGACGCUAACGCAUUAAGCACUCCGCCUGGGGAGUACGACCGCAAGGUUGAAACUCAAAGGAAUUGACGGGGGCCCGCACAAGCGGUGGAGCAUGUGGUUUAAUUCGAAGCAACGCGAAGAACCUUACCAGGUCUUGACAUCCCGAUGCCCGCUCUAGAGAUAGAGUUUUUCUUCGGAACAUCGGAGACAGGUGGUGCAUGGUUGUCGUCAGCUCGUGUCGUGAGAUGUUGGGUUAAGUCCCGCAACGAGCGCAACCCUUAUUGUUAGUUGCCAUCAUUAAGUUGGGCACUCUAGCGAGACUGCCGGUAAUAAACCGGAGGAAGGUGGGGAUGACGUCAAAUCAUCAUGCCCCUUAUGACCUGGGCUACACACGUGCUACAAUGGUUGGUACAACGAGUCGCAAGCCGGUGACGGCAAGCUAAUCUCUGAAAGCCAAUCUCAGUUCGGAUUGUAGGCUGCAACUCGCCUACAUGAAGUCGGAAUCGCUAGUAAUCGCGGAUCAGCACGCCGCGGUGAAUACGUUCCCGGGCCUUGUACA
rnacentral:rRNA from 1 species